UAUACUGCAAUCUGAAAAAGCAUUUUCAAUUGUUGUUUAUUGUGUUAAUGUUAUUUAUUUGAUUUAAAUAUUGGGGAAAAUCCCCCUUUAAAAAGGCCUCAUAUCACACAGGCGGAGAAAUAUACAACACGAUGAAAUGUACAUCAUUACCUGUCGAAAACCGCAAUCAAUGGUGAACGAAUUCGUUUGUUUACAGACUAAAAUAUCAACAAUAAACAUAAAACAUAAUGAUUUAUAAGUUGCAAACAAAAAAUAUUAAUAA
rnacentral:lncRNA from 1 species